UACAGAGGUCCCAAGCGUUGUUCGGAUUUACUGGGCUUAAAGGGUCCGCAGGCGGUCGGAUAAGUCGGGUGUGAAAUACCAAGGCCUAACCUUGGAACUGCGCUCGAAACUGUCUGGCUCGAGGAUUGGAGAGGAGACUGGAAUUCACGGUGUAGCGGUGAAAUGCGUAGAUAUCGUGAGGAACACCAAUGGCGAAGGCAGGUCUCUGGACAAUUUCUGACGCUCAUGGACGAAAGCCAGGGGAGCAAACGGG
rnacentral:rRNA from 1 species